UCACCUCCCGCUUCCUGGAGCCCGUUUACUUUGCUCCACUGUCAAUUUGUCACCUGCAACCAGGGGAGAGAUGUGCUCAGAAGUAAAGACGUUGGGUGAAGCUUCGGUUGGUACAGGUUGGCAGCGGCCCUGGCAGUGAGGAGACUCAGCCGCUGUGGACCUGAAACCCGGACAUGUGCUGCUGCUAUAGAACCACCUGCCUUGUACUCACCGGGAGAGGUGGAUACAAUCUAGGAGGUCCAGCAGAGGUGGAAUUCUGGGGGCAUUGACCAGAGGUCUCCAUUGCUGGGAUCAGAGCCGGCCGAAACGGCAACUCUACGAUCUCCAGGAGAGUUGGCAGAGGAGCAGCGGCUGCUUCAGGAACUUCACCCAGCCCUGGAUCAGGUGUUAGGCGGCCUCCGGUCCUGGUGGAGCACUGGGAGGGAGGUUUUUCUUCCCAUAUACAGAAGAUCCUAAAAGGUAGUGAGAAGCACGAGUCAGAAAAGAGAAUAAAAAUGCAUCAAGAUAUGGUGGAGGUGUUUGAAACAAGUGGAAACCCAAGAAAUGUAAUCCUGUAGAAGCAGGGCUCUACAAAUUUAAAGCAUGGAAACUGGAUUCUGGAAUUCUUUACAGUGGGCGCAUUUUCCCUAAGAAACUGCUAGAGAAGCCACCUAUUGGCUUUGAUUUUGAAACGGAGAAAAUAAUCAAACAGUGAGAAGCAAAGAGUGUAUUGGAGGAUAAACACUUUAAAUUUAUGCAAAGCCUUGCCCAAAUCUUGUUAGGUGUUGUGGGUGUUCCCAAUAAGAAAGAAAUUCCACUCAC